AUGCUCUUAUUUGGGAGUUUUUACUUCCUUUGGUGUUAUUGGCAGAGUAAAUUCCUUGAGGUGUAUGCAUAUCCCAAACAAGCACUCAGCAGUCCCCAUGCCCAAAUUGCCGGGGGGAGGGAAUCAAAUCCAUCCCCCUGGAUUGGAAGCACAGGAACCUUAACAUCAGGAAAGUCCUGCCCAACUUUUUCUCUUCUGCUUUCCUCUGACACCAAAGCUGGAAAUGGACAGCCUUAUUUCCUAGUUGUUCUUGCAUCUGGGCUUCUAAACUGCGAAUCUGGUUCGACAAGUUAGUUAUCUGCGCGUGAGUGAGACUGAGAGUCAGGAUGGAGGCAGAAGCUACCUUCCUUCGCAUUCACUUGUAAUCAUCGGGCAACGUGAUUGUGAGACACUGGGACUUUCUAAAGCUGCGUCUCAAGGUUUAGUCGCUAAUUUAAUGGGCCCCCAGAGGAGGCUGGAUGGCAUCACUGACUCGAUGGACGUGAGUCUGAGUGAACUCUGGGAGUUGGUGAUGGACAGGGAGGCCUGGUGUGCUGCGAUUCAUGGGGUCGCAAAGAGUCGGACACGACUGAGCAACUGAAUCGACUGAACUCAACUGAAAGACUGCUUGGGCUUCCCUAGUGGCUCAGUUGGUAAAGAAUCCACCUGCAAUGCAAAAGACAUGGGUUUGAUCCCUGGGUCGGGAAGAUCCCCUGGAGGAGGAAAUGGCAACCCACUGCAGUAUUCUUGCUUGAUAAUGCCAUGGACAGAGGAGCCUGCUGGGCUACAGUCCCUGGAGUUGCAAGAGUUGGACACAACUUAGUGACUAAACCACCACCAAAGAUUGCUUAUUGGUUGGAUGUCCACCACUACUAGACUUUAAUCUCUAUUCAAACACAGACUUUGUUUUGCUCACUUCUGUAUAGCCUUCUAACACUUAGAACCCUAGUGGCAGACAGUAGGAACUCCAUAAAUAGUGUUCAAUCAAUGAAUCUAUUUUUCUUAACAGAAUGUUGGUGCGUGCAUUUAAGUCGCUUCAGUCGUGUCUGACUGUUUGUGACCCUAGCCCACCAGGCUCCUCUGACCAUGAGACUCUCCAGGCAUGAACACUGGAGUGCGUUGCCAUGCCCUCCUCCAAGGGAUCUUCCCAACCCAGGGAUCAAACCUACAUCUCUUACCUCUCUUGUAUUGUCAGAGGGGUUCUUUAUCACUAGCGUCACCUGGGAAGCCCUCUUACCUGAACACUACUCCUAAAUUACUGCAUUAGUAACAAGGUCAUCAACAAUAUACCCUCAGUUAUGCCUCUUCAUGAAGCUUUCACCCGGGUUUAGAAAAUCCUCAAAGAAAGCAAAGUGAUAUGUGUUCUCUGAAUCUUAGCAUUAAAUUUAGGGUGACCAAAUCCUUCUGGUUUGCCUGAUAUUUUCUGUUUUAGCACUGAAAUCCCAUGACCUGAGCAAACCAAGAUGAUUAGUUGCCCUAGUUAAAUUCAUGAGGUGGUGAAGGAAGGCAGAAGCUACCUUCCUUCGCAUUCACUUGUAAUCAUCGGGCAACGUGAUUGUGAGACACUGGGACUUUCUAAAGCUGCGUCUCAAGGUUUAGUCGCUAAUUUAAUGGGCCCCCAGAGGAGGCUGGAUGGCAUCACUGACUCAAUGGACGUGAGUCUGAGUGAACUCUGGGAGUUGGUGAUGGACAGGGAGGCCUGGUGUGCUGCGAUUCAUGGGGUCGCAAAGAGUCGGACACGACUGAGCAACUGAAUCGACUGAACUCAACUGAAAGACUGCUUGGGCUUCCCUAGUGGCUCAGUUGGUAAAGAAUCCACCUGCAAUGCAAAAGACAUGG
ensembl:lncRNA